rnacentral:misc_RNA from 1 species
CAAUUUGCAAAAAUAAUUUGUAGAGGCUGAAAGGGUUUUCUGAUUUCAGAGAAACUCUGCACUAAACCCUACUGUCUACUGUUUACUCCACCCUCAAACAAUGAAACUCCUAAUUCAAUCAAUUUUUGGUCACCGGCGACCACUGCUUCGAGGGUUGGGUCGCCGUUACUUCGCUGUGUCCACCGAAGAGUAUGCCAAGCGUAAUUACGCUAAUAAUGUCUCAGAAUACAAUACUGUUGUUGGCUCUCUCACUGCUCAACGCAAGUAUUUUCUAUUGAGGGAUGUGUACGAUGAUAUGAUGCUUGACGGAGUGCAGCCUUCUCGAGAUACAUUCCAUUCCUUGAUCGUGGGGACCAUGAAAGGCGCUCGCUUGCAAGACACAUUUUUCUUCAGAGACCAAAUGAAAGCUAUGGGUUUGGUUCCUGAUGUAACUUUAUAUGACUUUUUGAUCUCAACCUGUGGGAAAUGCAAGAAUUCUGACCAGGCAGUGCUGAUUUUGGAAGAAAUGAAGAAAUAUGAAGUGAAGCCGAAUGGACAAACCUAUGUCUGCCUACUUAAUGCAUGUGCAGCAGCUGGUCGAUUAGAUCGAGUCUAUGCAAUUGUUCGGGAUAUGACUGCGGCUGGUGCUGGCUUGAACAAGUUUUGCUAUGCAGGACUGAUCACUGCACAUAUUAACAAGACUCCAGUAUCAGAUGAUACACCCACCAAAAUAAUUGAGUUUGUUGAGCGGUCAAAGGGAUGGUCCUCUGUUGACAAAGCAAUUUACAAUGCUGAAAAUUUGAUGAUGGGUGUUUCUGAAGAGGAAUUAUACAAUUUACCAACUGCAGAUUAUGUUCGUAGGCGUGGAGGAUUUUUGAAUAGACAACUAACUGUUUAUCACGUUGCACUUCAUGCUUGUGCAGAACUUAGGAAUGUUGAGGCGAUGGAAACACUUUUAGAAAUGCUCAAGAAGGAUGGAAAGUCUCCUGACGUGUUCAUUGUGAUGCAAACGAUGAGGUGCUAUCUACAUUCCGGAGACAUUGAUAGUGGUCUUAAAACUUUUGAAGAAUACAUGAAUUCUGGGAAGCCUCCUAUGAUAGAGCUAUACAUAACACUUGUAGAAGGAGCCAUGGUAGGGUAUACUCCCAAGGGAAUGCAACUUGCUCAAGACACACUGGUAAAUAUGAAUUCCAGAAACUUUUUCUUGAGUCCAAAACAAGGAAGCGAUCUCCUCCUUGUAGCAGCUGGUGAAAAGGGUGGUGGAUAUACAACUGCUAACUUUAUAUGGGACCUGACGCAAGCUCGUAAAAUAACCCCUUCAUUUCCAGCUGUGGAAGCAUACUACAAAGGACUAAAAGAACGCGAGAUACCUGAAGACGAUCCACGACUGUUAAUAGUUUCUCGUACCUAUGACAACACACGUCCGAGAUAUGGAGGUCCAGUUGCAGCAAGGCAAUGAUUGUUAGGAAAUGGGAAUUUGAUACAGAACAUAUUUUGCUGUAUCAAAGAAAGAUGCUUGAAGUUAAAAUACGACUUCAAAGAGAUUGGGAUCUCAUUGUCUUGAAAUUUUGAUGUUACUUAGUCGAAUGGUUGAUGCUAUUCCAUUAAUUAAAUAACCGAAUCUUUUCCUGCCCUCAAGUUUC